UUCAAGAGAUGAAAGAAAAAGACGUGGUGUGGCAGCCUUAUAAAAAUCGUGACCUUAAACUGUCGCAGAAGUAUGCAUCUCAGUUACCUAUGGUCUUUUCACGCACACCAUGUUCGUGCUUUAAUGAAGGUGCGUAUAAUCGUCCAGAUGUGUGUUUUAAGCAAUUAGGAUUGGAGAAGUCGCAAGUCAAAACAUUGUGGCCAAAGAUUAAGAAAGGGACGAAAUUGAAACUGAGCAAACAUAAAGACAAAAAUUGGAAAUCUGUCAGACCUUACUACAAAUUCGUGACUGAGCAGUGGACUAAGUGAUAUGAAAAUUUUAUCUAUGAAAUUGCUCGAGAUGGGGUGACGAGUGUUCCUGAGGGAGGAAGAGUUGCAAGUGGUGGAUAUUCUACUUGUCAUUCUUUUCAAAUUGAACCUGAGAGGCCUUAUUUGGUCAAAGAGUAUGAAGAGGCACAUAGCAGUGAAAUGGAACGGGAGCUGCCGGAGGCGAGAGAUACUCCCUCAACUCAGGUUGAAAGACUUGAAGAGAAUCAGGUUACGACUGUCCCUCCUCUGAGUGUUCAAGCAACAAAGGACUACGAAACUAUGGAGCGAGAGCGACCGGAGGUGACAGAUACUCCCUCCACUCAGUUUGAGGACUACGAAACUAUGGAGUGUGAGCUACCGGAGGUGACAGAUACUCCCUCCACUCAGGUGACGUUUAUUCUCUUUUUUUUAGCACAAAUGAACUUUGAACUCCCCUUGGUUUCAGACGAACUGACGAAGCGUUAAGCGUUAUAAAAGCUUAUAAACCCUUCAGAAGAAGCGUUAUAAAAGCUUAAGUUUGAUAAGCUAAUUUUUGCUUAUAAGUUUGAUAAGCUAAUUUUACUCUGAUUUGAUUGUGGAGAAUUAGGUUGAAGGUAGAUUUAGCGAGAAUCAGGUUGAAGGUGGAUUUAGCGAGAAUCAGGUUACGACUGUCCCUCCUCGGAGUGUUCAAGCAAUAGAGGACUACGAAAUUGUGGUGCGGGAGCUGCCGGAGGUGAGAGAUACUCCCUCCACUCAGGUUGAAAGACUUGAAGAGAAUCAGGUUACGAAUGUCACUCCUCAGAGUGAUCAAGCAAGUAAAGGAAGAGGAAAAAGGAUAAAGAAGCCAAGUGUAUUACUUCAAGAUUUUGUCCUUCUAACACCUGGCGUGACUGUCAAGAAAGUGACUCGCAAGAAAGUGACUCGCAAGAAAGUGACUCGCAAGUAAGUGACUGGCAAGAAAGUGAUAAAUGUGGAUGAAGCUCAAUCUUCGAUGGUGGUGGAGCAAUCAGUUGAACUGCCUCCUGGUGAUAAGCCCCUUACAGUAUAUUCAAGGAAGAAGAAGAAGAGUUCAGUUAAAGAGAGGGAACAAUAAACGGAUUUUGAUGUGUUAUAACAAUGGUGUUGAUGACUCUUGCUUUAAAGUUUGUGUUUCUGAGUGGAUUCUAGUUGAUUAUGUGUCUCUAGUUGAUAACAUCAAACUUUUAUUCCAUGAAUGCUAUAUGAACUUGCUAUCUCAAAUCCCUCUCAUAUCCCUUAACCACAACUUGAAAUAUCUUAAUUAAACUUCAUUAGUCUAAACAUGACAAUACAAUACAAGUACAACUGAGUGGAUUCUAGUUGAUUAUGUGUCUCUAGUUGAUAACGUCAAACUUUUAUUCCAUGAAUGCUAUAUGAACUUGUUAUCUCAAAUCCCUCUCAUAUCCCUUAACCACAACUUGAAAUAUCUUAAUUAAACUUCAUUAGUCUAAACAUGACAAUACAAUACAAGUAGUCCCAGUAAGCUCUUCUUCCUCAGGCCGAUGCCGAGUAAU